GUGUUUCCCAAUCAUAUGAUUGAGUUUGCAAAAAUGCAGAACCAGAUUUCUUUUGAUGCUGUGCAAAACGUUCAGUCAUAUUUAUUGGCCCCUUCAUCUUCGACAAUGUUCUCUUAGUCUCUAAUCAUGGGUCGUCUUCGCGUGUUAGAUCCUGACUACACAGAUGUUGGGGGGUGGUUUGGCAGCACCCUUUGGUGCACAUCUCUCCCAGGAAGAAAUUACAUUGCACAGACAGUCAUGUGCUGGGAUCUUAGGGUCUAGGACUAUGUAAUUUGCCAUUAGAGUUGUCACAACUCACAAACACUGUGCUUAAUAACUUCAUUUUGAUACUGUUGAUUAACAUAC